rnacentral:rRNA from 1 species
UACGUAGGGGGCGAGCGUUGUCCGGAGUUAUUGGGCGUAAAGAGCGUGUAGGCGGUUUGUCGCGUCUGCUGUGAAAUUUCGGGGCUCAACCCCGAACUUGCAGUGGGUACGGGCAGACUAGAGUGUGGUAGGGGAGACUGGAAUUCCUGGUGUAGCGGUGAAAUGCGCAGAUAUCAGGAGGAACACCGGUGGCGAAGGCGGGUCUCUGGGCCGAAAUUGACGCUGAGGAGCGAAAGCGUGGGGAGCAAACAGG